ACUACAGGUUGUGUCUACUAUUUCAAGUGCUCGCCCCUUCAUGUAAAAUGAACUUCCAAUGUUUGUCUUAAUUUCUUCAUCCAAUCACCUUAAAUCAAUACCUUCUGGUUAUCGCAAUCACACCCUUCACAGCUGAGACUGCUUCCCUGAUGCAACCAAAGGGAACUCACACAUUCAGAGGGAGAGCAUGCAAACUCCACACAGGCAGCACCCGAGGUCAGGAUUAAACCGGGGUCAGAGGAGCUGCGAAAAGGUAGCUCCACAAGCUGCACCACAGUGCUGUUACUGCUCCUCUUGCCCCUCAGCUCUGAGGAAACAUCCUUGGCUUCCCUUUCCCACCCACACACACAAGAAUGGUCUCGACCUGAAACAUCACCAUUCCUUCUCUCCAGGGAUGUUGCCUGUCCCGCUGAGUUACUCCAGCAUUUUGCGUCUGCCACACAUAAUUCCUCAUCUCUCGAGAGCUCCUGUAAAUCCCUCGGAGUAGGUAUGUUGCAAAACUUACCUUCAGCGACGCUGCUAUUCUGUCGCUGCCCGUGUACGCGACUUUGGUGCCUUUGAGAGGGGGGCGGGUUUAAAAAGCGAUUUUCUCUAGGCUAUUGAAAUCGAUGUUGUUCAGCCUGCUUAGUUGCUGACGAAAAAUCGCUGCGACAUUCGUUCGCUGCAGCUAUUUUUAAACUAAAUUGGAUUAUUUAAUUGUUAUAGUAGAUUAAAAAUCAUCCUCUAAAGCCGCGAACGCCGACAACGGGACGGAUCUUAUGUAGGGGACAACGCAAGGUAGGUUGUUUAUUUUUACAUUAAAAAGUGCUUCUUAAGAUCCCUUUAUUCAAAAUUUUAAGUUGCGAGUACGUGACUUGGGGGCCCAUUCAAACCCGCAGUAUCUUUCAUGCUGCAUAUGGGCUUCAAAUCCACUGCAAUGGCAACGUUCCAAACCAUCGCGUUCCAGAAAAACCCACUCGCAAGCUGAUUUAAAUGGCCAUUAAUUUACAGCAAUUGAACACUAAAUCCCUUCCAUUUGGCCUAUAAAUUAAUGUCAAUGAGAUUUAAAAAUCAUGUUUUAUUGUGAAUUCUUGUGUGAAUGUUCUUUGCACACUUAGGCUAUUUAAAAAUGUUAAUCUUUUCUUAAGAAAUGGAUAGAUGUUUAGAUCUAGUAAUUGAAUUUUGGAAUUAGCUACAAUUGGGUAACUAACUAAUUAUAUGCUUUAAUUUCAGGUCAUCCAAGUAAGAUUGUUUAAUAUUUGUUUCAGAAUGCUUCAAUCUAUAAUAACUGAAAAUGUCUUUCAGUUCUCUUAAUUUUUUUAUAAAGUUAUUGUCAUUUCACUGUCCUUGAUCACAACUUUUGUGUUAAGUCAAUGGAAAAUCAAUAGGGUUUUAAAUCAAUAAGAUGCUAAUUUCCGAGUAUGAAAAUGGCCAUAACUUUUUUAAUACUGAAGAUAUGAAAGUGAAUUAGGUGUCAAAUUAAACUUAUUUUUAUGCUUUAUCUGAUGGGAUAAAUUGCAGACUUGUUUUUUAAAUCUCUAAAUUUUGUAACAUUGCUACUCUGAGCCCUCUCCAAACCUCACAAUCCUUCUGUACCUGAAUUUCUGGAACUGGGCACAGGACUCAAGCCAGGCUUCAUAUAAUGCCUUAUAGAUGUAACUUCCCGGCUGUGUACGCUGUGUGCUUCAUGAAAUGCUUUGUUAACCGGCCAGACCAAUUUGAAUAUUUUUAUCCCAUAUUGCAGCCUCUUUGAUGGUUAAAUGCCAAGGAUGUCAUUAUGUCAUUACGGCCAUGCAUCAUUUCACAGACCAGCACUGCCCAGCGGUAACAGAGGCAUUGCAACAGCAGAUGGUAAUUGUGAGGUGAUGUUUUUGGAUGAAAUAAUAAUGUUAGUAUGUACACAGAGGAAGCACCUAGACACAGAGCCAGAGCUGCUGCCACACAGCGCCAGAGAACCAAGUUUGUUCCUGACCCUGGAUGCUGUCCACAUGGAGUUUGCGCAUUCUCCCUGUGACCGUGUGGGUUUCCUCCAGGUGCUCUGGUUUCCUUCCACAUCCCAAAGACAUGCAGGUUUGUAGGUUGAUUGGCCCACUGUAAAUUGUCCCUUGUGUGCAGAGAGUGGAUGAGAAAGUUUGUUAACAUAGAAAUAUUGUGAAUGGGCAAUUGAUGGUCGGAGUGGACUCAGUGGGCCGAAGGUCCUGUUUUCAUGCUGUAUCUUUAAACUAAAUAGUGAAUGGUAGGGCUCUAGAGAGUAUUGAUGAACAGUGGGGCCUGUACAAUUCCAAGGAUCCAUGAAGGUGGCAACAGAGGUAGAUGAAGUUUGGGCCCCAUAUCUCAGGAAGGAUGUGCUGGUGUUGGAGAGGGUCCAGAGCAGGUUUACAAGAAUGAUCCUGGGGAUGAUUGGGUCAACCUGUGAGGAGCAUUUGAAGGCUCUGGGCCUGUACUCACUGGAGUUGAGAAGGAUGAGGGGGCACCUCAUGUAAACCUACAAAAAUGCUGGAGAAAUUCAGCGGGUAAGGCAGCAUCUAUUGAGCGAAGGAAUAGGUGGCGUUUCAGGUCGAGACCCUUCUUCAGACCCUUUAAGUAUCAUUUACCAGUCUAACCUAGCCAAUUCCCGUCUCCUUCCAUCAAAGUUACCUCAAAAUAAGGGAAGGUAUCCCACGCCAGGGGGCCACAUGAGCGGCACGCGUGGGGGACAGAUUUGUGAAAUUUGAAAAAUGUUUACACUGUAUUGAACAAUUUGUAUAGCCUCCGAAAAUAUCGGAUGAAUUUUUCGCAUGGUUCACGUAUUGUAUAUAUUUAUUACUUGAAUAAAGACUAUUUUGAAAUUUAAAAA